GUUAUUUCCGCUAUAUUUUACCCCAACAUGUGUGGGUCGUGCAGUUUUAAUAGAUAGGAGUGGCAUGUCACACUCCUGGUCCACACAUAAGACGGCUAGAGCUAGGAUAACAUAGAUUUCGAAAUAUGCACACACAAGGGAGCUGGAAGAUGCUUAAUGCUAAAUUGACUGCUUCCGAGCGCUUCCUGGACCUAACAAAUAUCUCCCAGCAGCAACCUCCCCAACGUGUGACGGGAGUCUUCAAGUUUUCCAGACGGCUGGUGAUGCAUUUCAAGAAAAGCCAUCAGAAUCUUGCAAUGAUCUGUAUACUUAAUAAAUGACAAAACAACAA